AAUGGACGAAAGUCUGAACCAGCCAUGCCGCGUGCAGGAUGACUGCCUAUGGGUUGUAAACUGCUUUUAUAUAGGAAGAAAACUUUCUCGUGAGAAAGCUUGACGGUACUAUAAGAAUAAGGAUCGGCUAACUCCGUGCCAGCAGGCGCGGUAAUACGGAGGAUCCAAGCGUUAUCCGGAAUCAUUGGGUUUAAAGGGUCCGUAGGUGGACAAAUAAGUCAGAGGUGAAAUCCUGCAGCUCAACUGUAGAACUGCCUUUGAUACUGUUUGUCUUGAGUUAUUAUGAAGUGGUUAGAAUGUGUAGUGUAGCGGUGAAAUGCAUAGAUAUUACACAGAAUACCGAUUGCGAAGGCAGAUCACUAAUAAUCAACUGACACUGAUGGACGAAAGCGUGGGUAGCGAACAGGAUU
rnacentral:rRNA from 1 species